rnacentral:rRNA from 1 species
CCUACGGGAGGCUGCAGUGGGGAAUAUUGCACAAUGGGGGAAACCCUGAUGCAGCGACGCCGCGUGAGUGAAGAAGUAUUUCGGUACGUAAAGCUCUAUCAGCAGGGAAGAAAAAAAGUCCUUUGGACUUUGGACGGUACCUGACCAAGAAGCCCCGGCUAACUACGUGCCAGCAGCCGCGGUAAUACGUAGGGGGCAAGCGUUAUACGGAUUUACUGGGUGUAAAGGGAGCGUAGACGGCAGCGCAAGUCUUGAGUGAAAUGCCGGGGGCCAACCCCGGGACUGCCUUGGAAACUGUGCAAGCUGAGGUGAGGAGGGGUUAGGCGAAAUGCCAGUG